GACGAACGCUGGCGGCGUGCUUAACACAUGCAAGUCGAACGGAAAGGCCCUGCUUUUGUGGGGUGCUCGAGUGGCGAACGGGUGAGUAACACGUGAGUAGCCUGCCCUUGACUUUGGGAUAACUUCAGGAAACUGGGGCUAAUACCGGAUAGGAGCUCCUGCUGCAUGGUGGGGGUUGGAAAGUUUCGGCGGUUGGGGAUGGACUCGCGGCUUAUCAGCUUGUUGGUGGGGUAGUGGCUUACCAAGGCUUUGACGGGUAGCCGGCCUGAGAGGGUGACCGGGCACAUUGGGACUGAGAGACGGACCAGACUCCUACGGGAGGCAGCAGUGGGGAAUAUUGCACAAUGGGCGGAAGCCUGAUGCGGCAACGCCGCGUGCGGGAUGACGGCCUUCGGGUUGUAAACCGCUUUCGCCUGUGACGAAGCGUGAGUGACGGUAAUGGGUAAAGAAGCACCGGCUAACUACGUG
rnacentral:rRNA from 1 species